GCACUAAGAAGGGACCAGUUGAAGCAGAUAUAUCUUGAUCAGGAAAUAGCGAAUCACAGAGGGCUGCUUGAUCCACCAGCUUGCAAAGCUGGAAGAGAGGGAGGCUUGGAGCUUGAGUGAUGCCAUGAUCUUUAGGCUGGAACAGGAAGGAAAUCUGGCUCGCCUGUAAGGGGACCAUCACGCAGAGCUAGGCAAGCACUCUGCCGACCGUCCAAGGAGGUGGUUGCGGUCUCCAGCAGAUUAUCAAUGCCAUGGUUGGGAUCCUUGUGGAGAGUAUCAUGGUCUGGAUCAGACAUCAGCUUUGCUACCAACACCAAGACACUGUAAAAGGAUGCUAUACUGAGGGCUACACAGACAGGACAAGGCCAAGAAGUUUGGGAUUUAACAUGGCAGCACACAGAUGUUGGAUCAGAUUUAACAAUUCUGCUGUACUUGUAUCAAAAACACUUUGUGCUGACUGAGUUAAAUGUCCUAUAAAGUUCAGAGGAUUACAGUACACUAUUCACAACUGAGGAGGCUAACAACCCAGCCAAAAGGGGAAAAACACUGAAUCAUCCAUGGAUACCGACGACCUAAAUACCACAGACAUACAGGCUGAAGAGCAUGUGGCAGCCAGUGUUCCGCUGUAAGCUGAGUAAGCCGAGCAAACCCCUGACUAUGGUAGUUCCCAGCCCUCCAUCUCUCUCCCGUCUCCUUCCCCCUCCCUGCCUUCAUCCACAUACCUCCAUCCCUCCUUUCUCUGUCUCUCUGUCAGUUUCCAUGCUUCCUCCAUGCCUUCGUCUAUCUCUCCCGCUGUUUGCUUUUAACUCUUGAGGUCAUCCGGGACCCCUGGGCAGCUAUCCCAGAAUGCUGAGCCGGCUAACGUCCUGCGGAGUUGCCUUCUGGACAGAGCGGACAACCGAGCCAGGACUCGAUCGGUGCUCGGACUCAACCAUGUAUUCAGCCACUGCUACACCCAGAAAAAAGAGGGAUCUUCAAAGGUUCUUUGGUUAGGGUGGUGGUUCUAUAUCGAAUUGUAAUAACUACAGCAAACCUCUGAUUGUUAAAUGUACUACAUGUAGCACUGUAACAUCAAUAAA